CACAUAGGAUUUCAAGUUUCAUGUUUAGACAAAAUUUUAACCUCAUUUAGGCAAUGUUUUCAAAUUUGAUAAUGGAGGGAAAAAAGUGUGAACAAAUGAUCAAAGGGCCAGAAAAGUGGGUCGAAAAUGCAAGGCCCAUUGCGAGAAGCCCAAACAGAUGAAAAAAAGAAAGAAUCUGGUCAGAAGCAACAAGGGUCUUGUCCCUUUCAGCAUCUCUUCAUUUUGGGUAAUAUUGUUUAGGCAAAUUCUGAAUUGUUCUCACUCAUCCCUUUUACAUGCAACCUAAAACAACUUUAUCAGAGACAAAUCACGCUGCUGCAAGCUCCUCAAUUCAAAUUUCAAAUUCAAAAUAACACACGCUCUCUCUCUAGCCAUCUUCUAUCACCUUCAAAUUUUCAAUCUCAAACCUCCCCCUAUUUCUCUUUGUUUUCCACCUAGCCCUUUGAUAUUCUUCUUUCUACUGCUUUCCUCCAUUUUUUUCUUCAUUAUUGGCUUGCAGAAGAUAAUCAACGAUACGUGGAGUAACUUUGAUUUUGAAUUCAAGGAAAAUAUCAAUUGAAGCGGCGAUAGAAGGAACCCUUCAUACACAACGACUUUGUCGGAACCGCCAUUGACAAGGACACACCGCUGGAACCAGUUCAAGAGCUAUCUUCAUAAAUGAAUGUUCAAAGGGCUUCUCAAAAAACAAAGCCAAAAGAUUUGUAGACUAUUUGGCUACUUUGGUCCUCUAAAUGAAGUUUUCGUGCCUCAUGAUUAUUAUAUUAGGUUAUUGGUAAAACAUUGGUCCUUGAUGAGAUAAUCAAUUAUACUCAAUCAUAUCACCACCAAGUAGAGCAAAGCUUUUGAUAUAUGGUUGCAUAAAAGGGUUGAAAGUGAUAUAAUGCUUCCAAAAAGGAUGUUGGAGAGUCUUUCACAUGAGAUUAGAGAACAUGGAUGCUGUGAUGGAGCUCCUGCCUUAGAAAGAUAGACUUAAGAGUCUAUGGACGGUUUACAUACUAAUCAAAGCUUUAGGAAACAUGUCCAGUUAAACAUAGAUGGCAGGAGCAAGAAAGGUUUACCAUGAAGAGGUUGAACUUCUUGGGAGAUGACCAAGUUUUUAUGUGGUGGCUUAUAAUGAUAUCUCAAUAGGAUAUAUCUUCUCUUUAAAUUCAUAUAUCAUGUUGUAUAAUUAAGAGGAAAAUUACAAUGACCUCGCCUAAAUUCUAUUGUAAUAGACACAAACCUCCCCUAAAGUCUAUUGAAUAGACAAACACCUCCCCUCUAAACUUCCACCGUUUAUUAAUCUGUUAAUUUUAUUAUGAUGAUAAUCUCUCCUAAAUUAAGGGGAAAAUUACAAUGACCUCGCCUAAAUUCUAUUGUAAUAGACACAAACCUCCCCUAAAGUCUAUUGAAUAGACAAACACCUCCCCUCUAAACUUCCACCGUUUAUUAAUCUGUUAAUUUUAUUAUGAUGAUAAUCUCUCUCCACUGAAACCUUGAAUAUUGUACCAUUGUUCGAACCUUCUCAAACCAUUUUUCCUAUUUUAAAUCUACUAUU